UACAGAGGUCUCAAGCGUUGUUCGGAUUUACUGGGCGUAAGGAGCGCGCAGGCGGUCGUUCAAGUCGCGUGUGAAAGCCCCCGGCUCAACUGGGGAGGGUCACGCGAUACUGAUCGACUGGAAGGCAGGAGAGGGUAGUGGAAUUCCCGGUGUAGUGGUGAAAUGCGUAGAUAUCGGGAGGAACACCAGUGGCGAAGGCGACUACCUGGCCUGUUCUUGACGCUGAGGCGCGAAAGCUAGGGGAGCAAACGGG
rnacentral:rRNA from 1 species